rnacentral:rRNA from 1 species
GAUGAACGCUGGCGGCGUGCCUAAUACAUGCAAGUCGAGCGAACAGACGAGGAGCUCGCUCCUCUGACGUUAGCGGCGGACGGGUGAGUAACACGUGGAUAACCUACCUAUAAGACUGGGAUAACUUCGGGAAACCGGAGCUAAUACCGGAUAAUAUAUUGAACCGCAUGGUUCAAUAGUGAAAGACGGUUUUGCUGUCACUUAUAGAUGGAUCCGCGCCGCAUUAGCUAGUUGGUAAGGUAACGGCUUACCAAGGCAACGAUGCGUAGCCGACCUGAGUGGGUGAUCGGCCACACUGGAACUGAGACACGCUCCAGACUCCUACGGGAGGCAGCAGUAGGGAAUCGUCCGCAAUGGGCGAAAGCCUUGCGGAGCAACGCCGCGUGAGUUAUGAAGGUCUUGGGAGCGUAAAGCUCUGUUAUUAGUUAAGAACAAAUGUGUAAGUAACUAUGCACUGCUUGACGGUACCUAAUCAGAAAGCCACGGCUAACUACGUG